ACUUUUGUUGCAUUCUAUUACUAAUUUUCUAUUUGUUACAUGCUCCCUUGGUUAGUUUUUAUGCGACUUUUUAUACUUGUUCUGUGUUUGGAUACACUAUCUGAAGAUACCAAAAAAAUAACUUGUACAAAUAAAAUUAAAAUUGCUGUUGCUUCAUUAUCAGGAUCUAUAAGUGAGUAAGUUUGUUUAGUUAUAGAGUUUGUUAUAACUAAAGUUUACUUAGUCUAAAUCUGUUUUGCUACCUGUAAUUGGACUGCAUUAGGCUCAAUUGCAGUGAGAAUUACUCUCUGUAUAUAUAGGAUAUCAGUGUAUCAUGUGACCAGUGAAUGAAAUCAUAAUUUCUCUAAUUCAUUCACUUUCUUGCAAUGCAUGUUUUCUCCAAUUUUCUUUCUCUAUUUCAUUCUUCUGCUGCGCUUGAAGCUCUUUGAGCUGAAUUCAUGUCAUUGUUGAAUAUAGUUCAUAUCUGGUUUGUUGUCA
rnacentral:lncRNA from 1 species